rnacentral:rRNA from 1 species
CAAUAGCGUAUAUUUAAGUUGUUGCAGUUAAAAAGCUCGUAGUUGGAUUUCGGGUGGGACACAGCGGUCUCGCAUUGCGUUUGUACUGCUGCAGCCCUCCUUCUUGCCGGGGGCGGCCUCUCGGACUUCACUGUCUGGGGGUCAGAAUCGGCGAUGUUACUUUGAGUAAAUUAGAGUGUUCAAAGCAAGCUUACGCUCUGAAUAUAAUAGCAUGGGAUAACACGACAGGACUCUGGCCUAUCGUGUUGGUCUAUAGGACCAGAGUAAUGAUUAAGAGGGACAGUCGGGGGCAUUCGUAUUCCGUUGUCAGAGGUGAAAUUCUUGGAUUUACGGAAGACGAACAUCUGCGAAAGCAUUUGCCAAGGAUGUUUUCAUUGA